GGGGAGCAUGGGGGAACCUGAUGCAGCCAUGCCGCGUGUGUGAAGAAGGCCUUCGGGUUGUAAAGCACUUUCAGUAGGGAGGAAGGUAGUGUAGUUAACACCUGCAUUAUUUGACGUUACCUACAGAAGAAGCACCGGCUAACUCCGUGCCAGCAGCCGCGGUAAU
rnacentral:rRNA from 1 species